rnacentral:rRNA from 1 species
UUUUAAUAUAUCUAGUUUUUUAAGAAAUAAAUUUAAUUUAGAUAUUUAAUUUUAAUAAUUUAAUUUUUAAAAUUAUUGUAAUUAAAUAUUAAUAUUUUAAGGGAUGAGCUUUAAGAUAAAAUUUUAUAAAUAAUAGUUAUUAAAUAAUAAUUGUAGGCUUAGAAUUAGCUAUCAAUAGAAAUUAUGUUUUAAUUUAUUUUUUAUUUAAUAUUAUUUAGUAUUUAUUUUAAAUCUUUUAUUAAAAUAUAAAUUUUAAUUUUAUAAAUUUAUUAAUAAUGAUAAAAUUAGUAAAUAAUUUUAAUUAUAUUUAAAUAAAUCUAAUUGAUUGGUUUUUAUAAUUAAUUCGGCAAAUUUUGUGUUCACCUGUUUAUCAAAAACAUGUCUUUUUGGUAUUUAAUAUAAGGUCUGACCUGCCCACUGAAUAUUGUUUGAAGGGCCGCAGUAUUUUGACUGUGCAAAGGUAGCAUAAUCAUUAGUCUUUUAAUUGAAGGCUGGUAUGAAUGGUUGGAUGAGGUACAUGCUGUGUCAUAAAAAUUAACAAUUGAAUUUACCUUUUUAGUCAAAAGGCUAAAAUAUCAUUAAAAGACGAGAAGACCCUAUAGAGCUUUAUAUAAUUUAUAUUUAAUUUAUUAAGAUUUUUUAAAUUUAACUAUUGUAUUAUAUUUUGUUGGGGUGACAAUAAAAUUUAUAAAACUUUUAUUUUUAAUUGACAUUUAUUUAUGAAUAUAUGAUCCAGUUUUAUUGAUUAUAAAUUUAAGUUACCUUAGGGAUAACAGCGUAAUUUUUUUUGAGAGUUCUUAUCGACAAAAAAGAUUGCGACCUCGAUGUUGGAUUAAGAGUAAUUUUGGGUGUAGAAGUUCAAAGUUUAAGUCUGUUCGACUUUUAAAUUCUUACAU